AUGCACGCUGGCGGCGUGCCUAAUCCAUGCAAGUCAAGCGAACAGACGAGGAGCUUGCUCCUCUGACGUUAGCGGCGGACGGGUGAGUAACACGUGGAUAACCUACCUAUAAGACUGGGAUAACUUCGGGAAACCGGAGCUAAUACCGGAUAACAUGUUGAACCGCAUGGUUCAACAGUGAAAGACGGUCUUGCUGUCACUUAUAGAUGGAUCCGCGCCGCAUUAGCUAGUUGGUAAGGUAACGGCUUACCAAGGCAACGAUGCGUAGCCGACCUGAGAGGGUGAUCGGCCACACUGGAACUGAGACACGGUCCAGACUCCUACGGGAGGCAGCAGUAGGGAAUCUUCCGCAAUGGGCGAAAGCCUGACGGAGCAACGCCGCGUGAGUGAAGAAGGUCUUCGGAUCGUAAAACUCUGUUAUUAGGGAAGAACAAAUGUGUAAGUAACUAUGCACGUCUUGACGGUACCUAAUCAGAAAGCCACGGCUAACUACGUG
rnacentral:rRNA from 1 species